GGAUGAACGCUGGCGGCGUGCCUAAUACAUGCAAGUCGAGCGAACAGACGAGGAGCUUGCUCCUCUGACGUUAGCGGCGGACGGGUGAGUGACACGUGGAUAACCUACCUAUAAGACUGGGAUAACUUCGGGAAACCGGAGCUAAUACCGGAUAAUAUAUUGAACCGCAUGGUUCAAUAGUGAAAGACGGUUUUGCUGUCACUUAUAGAUGGAUCCGCGCCGCAUUAGCUAGUUGGUAAGGUAACGGCUUACCAAGGCAACGAUGCGUAGCCGACCUGAGAGGGUGAUCGGCCACACUGGAACUGAGACACGGUCCAGACUCCUACGGGAGGCAGCAGUAGGGAAUCUUCCGCAAUGGGCGAAAGCCUGACGGAGCAACGCCGCGUGAGUGAUGAAGGUCUUCGGAUCGUAAAACUCUGUUAUUAGGGAAGAACAAAUGUGUAAGUAACUAUGCACGUCUUGACGGUACCUAAUCAGAAAGCCACGGCUAACUACGUG
rnacentral:rRNA from 1 species